AGAGUUUGAUCCUGGCUCAGGACGAACGCUGGCGGCGUGCCUAACACAUGCAAGUCGAGCGGAGACAGUGAGUAGCUUGCUAUGAGCUGUUUUAGCGGCGGACGGGUGAGUAACGCGUGAGCAACCUUUCCCAGACAGGGGAAUAACACACCGAAAGGUGUACUAAUACCGCAUAAGACCACGGGAUCACAUGGUUCUGAGGUAAAAGAUUUAUCGGUUUGGGGUGGGCUCGCGUCCGAUUAGGUAGUUGGUGAGGUAACGGCCCACCAAGCCGACGAUCGGUAGCCGACCUGAGAGGGUGAUCGGCCACAUUGGGACUGAGACACGGCCCAAACUCCUACGGGAGGCAGCAGUGGGGAAUAUUGGGCAAUGGAGGAAACUCUGACCCAGCAACGCCGCGUGGAGGAAGAAGGUUUUCGGAUCGUAAACUCCUGUCCUUGGAGACGAGUAGAAGACGGUAUCCAAGGAGGAAGCCCCGGCUAACUACGUGCCAGCAGCCGCGGUAAUACGUAGGGGGCAAGCGUUGUCCGGAAUAAUUGGGCGUAAAGGGCGCGUAGGCGGCUCGGUAAGUCUGGAGUGAAAGUCCUGCUUUUAAGGUGGGAAUUGCUUUGGAUACUGUCGGGCUUGAGUGCAGGAGAGGUUAGUGGAAUUCCCAGUGUAGCGGUGAAAUGCGUAGAGAUUGGGAGGAACACCAGUGGCGAAGGCGACUAACUGGACUGUAACUGACGCUGAGGCGCGAAAGUGUGGGGAGCAAACAGGAUUAGAUACCCUGGUAGUCCACACU
rnacentral:rRNA from 1 species